rnacentral:lncRNA from 1 species
ACCAAAUUGGAAUUGAUCGGAAAAAAAAAAGAGAAAAUAAACCAAAUUUAACCAAAUCAAGCCUUUGUCACAAUCAAGUGGGGUCGGCUACAUGAAUAUUUUUAUGCUAUUGAGCUCGAUCAAGAGCCAAAUGUUCAUCGACAUUCAAUACUAUUAUAUUCUUUUUUACUACUGCAUCUUAAGUUAACUUCAGUUUACCCCUUCCCUAGUGUUGUUACUAUAUAUAAUCAUAUCAGUUUUUUUUACUACCGCAUCAGUUGGCCCACGACUUAUGUAUCGAACCACCUAAUAUUCAAAGUUAACAAAUGACAGAAUGUUGAAUCCCAUGUUCAUUUUAUGAAACCUAAUUAAGAGCUGCUAGUUGAAAAAUUACACAAUUAGUGAUCUC